CACGCCACGCAGAGGUGAAGAUACGCAGGACGUCCUCUAAAGCAACUUCCGUGGGUGCCAGGUUGUGGGCUGGGGGCGGUGCUGACCUUGAGAGAGCGGAGGAGGCGCAGGCGCAGCACAGGUACGUGGGCGGGCGGAUCGUGGUGGCUGCGCUUGCGAGGACCCUGAGGUAGAUUGGGUGGUUUCAACAGGAACGCAUCCACUGUCUGAGAGUUUAAACUUGAUUUUGUGAGGGGACGAACAGCGUGACAAUUAAAAGAAGAUCUGGGAAUCAAAAGCUUCCUGAGGCCUUCACCAGAAGCAGAUGCUGGUGCCGUGCUUCUACAGCCUGCAGAACUCAGAGCAACUGGGAACCUAAUUCUGACCAAAAAGGAGGAAUUGUUUGGCUAAUUGGAAGUGACAGAAACCUUGGGAGAAAGCAACCGCAUACCAAGGAUAAUUAUAAGAAGAAGAGAAGACAUGGAGAAGAGGAGGGAGUAGUUGUGACCGUGGAGGCAGAGAAUGGAGUAAUGUGAUCAUAAAUCAAGGAAUGCUGACAGCCACUAAAGCUGGAGAAGGCCAAGGACAGAUAUUCAAUCCUCCCGUAGAAGUACAGCCCUGCUAAUGCAUUGAUUUUGGACUUCUGGCCUCAGAACUGUAAGAGAAUAAAUUUCUAUUGUUUUAAGCCUUCAGUUUGUGGUAGUUUGUUACAGAAACCCUGUAAAGUUAAUACACAGAGUUCAAAGAGAAUCCGGUAAUAUCUCUAAAAGACUCGUGUAUUAGUCAGGAUUCUCCAGAGAAGCAAAGCCAAUAGAAUGAUACAUGUUGUUAAAGCAAAUUAAAAUGGAGACCAUGCCUGAAGAAUCUCUGUGCAGAGAAACCCAGUUAGGCCUCAUAAGUUAACCUUACUUGAUUUGCAAACAUAAUCUAAAAGUUAACUGGAGCUAUUUCCGGUAAAUGAAUAUAACACAACUUAAGCUCAAUCAGUCAGAAGCAGCUUUAUAAUUAUGUAGCUAGGGACUUUCCAAGAGGAUGACCAAAG
rnacentral:lncRNA from 1 species